CAGUCGCCGCGGUAAUACGUAGGGUGCAAGCGUUAUCCGGAAUUAUUGGGCGUAAAGAGCUCGUAGGCGGUUUGUCGCGUCUGCUGUGAAAACUGGAGGCCCAACCUCCAGCCUGCAGUGGGUACGGGCAGACUAGAGUGCGGUAGGGGAGAUUGGAAUUCCUGGUGUAGCGGUGGAAUGCGCAGAUAUCAGGAGGAACACCGAUGGCGAAGGCAGAUCUCUGGGCCGUAACUGACGCUGAGGAGCGAAAGCAUGGGGAGCGAACAGGAUUAGAUACCCCCGUAGUCCCUGUCUCUUAUAA
rnacentral:rRNA from 1 species